rnacentral:rRNA from 1 species
AUUGAACGCUGGCGGCAUGCCUUACACAUGCAAGUCGAACGAUAAGCCACCUUCGGGUGGUGGACAGUGGCAGACGGGUGAGUAACGCGUGGGAACGUGCCCUUCGGUUCGGGAUAACCCAGGGAAACUUGGGCUAAUACCGGAUACGCCCUUCGGGGGAAAGAUUCAUUGCCGAAAGAUCGGCCCGCGUCGGAUUAGCUAGUUGGUGGGGUAAUGGCCUACCAAGGCGACGAUCCGUAGCUGGUCUGAGAGGGUGACCAGCCACACUGGGACUGAGACACGGCCCAGACUCCUACGGGAGGCAGCAGUGGGGAAUAUUGGACAAUGGGCGAAAGCCUGAUCCAGCCAUGCCGCGUGGGUGAAGAAGGCCUUAGGGUUGUAAACCCCUUUCAGCGGGGACGAUAAUGACGGUACCCGCAGAAGAAGUCCCGGCUAACUCCGUGCCAGCAGCCGCGGUAA